CGUUUUCGGGAGCUUUAUGAC
rnacentral:siRNA from 1 species